AAAGAGAGUGCAGCCGCCAUCAUCGGUUCAUCAGCCGCCUCCACCUUGUUUCCCCCACCUAGUGUCGCCGCUCCCUUCGUAGAGUCACCACCGCCGCUACUCUCCCACCGGUGACGACCAGCGCUGCAAGGAAGCCUCCGAGGCCGGUGCACCUAUCGCAUCUGCUCCAUCUCCUUGUUGAAGACGUCGCCACCAUGCGACCUUGAUGUGACGAUAGUAACCUCCAACCGCCGCCUGGCGUCUUGAUGGUGUUGUGCGGGUUGCGUCCUAGGUCAUCACCGAUGUAUUAUGGCAUUGCUCGGGGCUCGCGAAGUAGGUUCGUUCAUGGGGGAUGGAAUCUGCCAAGUUAGAGUGGUGAUGAACCACCAUGGCGGCCGACCAUGGUGGUUGUCAUCGNUUAGCACCGCCGCUGAAGCUGCUGCUGUCACUAGUGUUGCAGUUUUCGUCGUCACCUUCCACCUCAUCUUCAGUCUCUUCGUCAACCACAAGCUGCCAAUGUUCCUGCCGCCUCCGACCACCGUAGGUGGGAGUUUUGGACCCAUUUCUCGAGCAUAAAAGAGUAUUUUGCUUAGUGUAUGUUGUGUGUGUACCAUGCUUUGUCGAAAAAGUGAGAAGAAGGGUCACCACUACGAGCCACCGCCGGCCACCACAGUGUGGCUGUGUGUGUGCGUGAUUAGUUUAGUGUUUGUGUGUGUGUGGUUGAUUGAGUUAGCCUUGUAAAAUGUAAUUCGAAUUGAAAUAAUGAAAAGAAAGUCAAACCACCACCGUAAGGUGGUGGCCCCCGCCAUUGACCACCACCACCCGAGGUGGUAGUGGGUGGUGCCCCGCUAGCAAACCCUAAUGGGCCUAGAGAUUAGUUUUGGGCUUAUUAGGCCAUGUUUGGGUGGAAAACCCUAAUUAUGAGUUUUGGGCCUUAGACUAAUUGGGCCACUUGUGGGCCAUUGGGAUUGGAUUGUGAAUUAAGCCCAAACUAUUCCAUGCCAUUUAUCUAGUAGAUUAAAGGACUUAAUGGAUUAAGUCCUUAAUGAGCUAAUUGAGAAAAUAUUAAUAUUUGGGAAUUUAUCAGGACACACGAGAAUUAUUUAAUAAGUGAAUAUUAAAUAAUAAUCAUAGGCAGGAAUUAAUGUAAGAAAUAAUGGACUUAAUGGAUUAAGUCCCUAGUGUGUUAAGUCCUUAGUGGGUUAAGUAAGAAACACUUAACCCUAGUUAUCAUUUGAUGUGAAACCCUAAUUUCACUUGGGCUUUGUGUUGGGCCAUCCGAGAAUGGUCAAAUGGGCUAGAGUAAUUAGUUGGGCUUUAGGGUAAGGUCCAUAUGAAUGAUUGGGCCCAAUUUGGAAAAUUGGGCCAUAGAUGGGCCAUAUGUUGGGCUUUGAUCCCUAGUUGACUUUGGGCCUAUGGAUUGGGCCUUGGGCUUGGGUAAGCCAAGCAAGGGGUAAUGUAGUAAUUAUCCAAAGCAUGUAUUUUUAGUUAUGUGUUAGAACCCAAUUAUUAAUUGGGUGUUAUUUGGUGUUGACAGUUCGGGAAUCUGUCAGCCAGCAGCUGGGGUGGAGUCUACGGGACUUCAGUAGUUUGGGAUUGUGUAUUCGGGACUUCAGUAGUGUGAGGUGAGUUUCCUUCCAGUAGGGACGGGUCUACGACGACAAUGCCGACCCCUUUAGUUAGUAGUAGUUCCAGACUUCAGUCCGAAGCAGUAGUUCAGUAUGCUUGAUGUCUAUGUGAUUCAAGCAUGUUUGUGUGUUAUAUGUUCCGGACUUCAGUCCGAUGCAGUAUGCGGUAUAUGUGUUUAUAUUAGUUGACAUGUGUUAUGCUAUGCGAUGAUCAUCCAGUCCCGGACUUCGGUCCGAUGCAGUUAGUUCCGGACUUCGGUCCGAUGCAGUCAGACCCGGACUUCGGUCCGAUGCAGUCAGUGCCGGACUUCAGUCCGAUGCAGUCAGUUCCGGAAUUCGGUCCGAAGCAGUCAGUUCUGGACUUCGGUCCGAUGCAGUCAGUUCCGGACUUCGGUCCGAUGCAAUCAGUCCCGGACUUCGGUCCGAUGCAGUUAGCUCCAGACUUCGGUCCGAUGCAGUCAGUUCUGGACUUCGGUCUGAUGCAAUCAGUUCCGGACUUCGGUCUGAUGCAGUUAGUUCCAGACCUCAGUUCGAUGCAGCUAGUUCUGGACUUCGGUCCGAUGCAAUGGGCAAGGCCCAGUAUGUGCUUUAUAUGUAUUGUAUGGUAUGUGGUAGUUUGGGGGAGCUCACUAAGCUUCGUGCUUACGGUUUUCAGUUUUGGUUUCAGGUACUCAGUUUUCAAAAGAGGAGCUCGGAGAGGUUGCAGUGCACACACCAUUUGUUCAGCCUGGGAUGUUUAUACUCUGAUAUAUUUGACAGUUGUUAUGAUAUUUUGAGAUAUAUUGUUUAUGAUUCUUAUACG
rnacentral:lncRNA from 1 species